rnacentral:rRNA from 1 species
GACGGGGGAGGCAAGCAUUGUCCGGAAUUAUUGGGCGUAAAGAACACGUAGGCGGUUUUUCAAGUCAAUUGUGAAAACCUUGGGCUCAACCCGAGGAUUGCAGUUGAUACUGGAAAACUAGAGUACAGUAGAGGAAAGUGGAAUUCCUGGUGUAGCGGUGAAAUGCGCAGAUAUCAGGAAGAACACCAGUGGCGAAAGCGGCUUUCUGGACUGUUACUGACGCUGAGGUGUGAAAGCUAGGGGAGCAAACAGG